rnacentral:rRNA from 1 species
UUGCGGUUAAAAAGCUCGUAGUUGGAUUUCUGUCGAGGGCGGGCGGUCCGCACUAUGUGCGUGUAUCUUGUUCGGUCUUGGCAUCCUCUUGGGGAAUGCUUCUGUGCUUGAUUGCAUGGGGUGGAAUUCAAGACUUUUACUUUGAGGAAAUUAGAGUGUUCACGGCAAGCUACCGCUUUGAAUACAUUAGCAUGGAAUAAUAAUAUAGGGCGUAAGUUCUAUUUUGUUGGUUUCUAGGACAUACGCAAUGAUUAAUAGGGACAAUUGGGGGCAUUCGUAUUAACGCGUCAGAGGUGGAAUUCUUAGAUUGCGUUACGACGAACUACUGCGAAAGCAUUUGCCAAAGAUGUUUUCAUUGAUCAAGAACGAAAGUAUGGGGAUCGAAGACGAUUAGAUACCGUCGUAGUCUAUACCAUAAACUAUGCCAAUUAGAGAUUGGGCGUCGUUCGUUUUAUGACUCGCUCAGCACCUUAUGAGAAAUCAAAAUUUUUGGGUUCCGGGGGGAGUAUGGUCGCAAGGCUGAAACUUAAAGGAAUUGACGGAAGGGCACCACCAGGAGUGGAGCCUGCGGCUUAAUUUGACUCAACACGGGAAAACUUACCAGGUCCAGACAUAUUAAGGAUUGACAGAUUGAUACCUCUUUCU